rnacentral:lncRNA from 1 species
GCCAGCUUAGGCUUCGUGAGGAUCUUUCAGGAUGGCUUCCUAGCACAGCCUGUGGCAGCUCAUCAGGGAACAAAGAAGAAAUGACAGUGUCCCUGCCCUUGAGAAGCUGAUACUCCAGUGAGAGAAGAAAACAGGCAAAGAGAAAGAUGUCACGAUGACAAAGUAACAUUGAAAUGAAUGUAGAAGAUAAUUGUGGGGGUUCGGUAAGGUGGGAAUGAGUAGAGUGCAUUGAAGUGAGACUCACCCUGGAACCCUGUCCAGUGAUACUGUCUUAGUCGGUUCUGGCUACUAUAAUGAAAUACCAUAGACUGGCUGGCAUGUAAAUAACAUAAACUUAUGUCUCACAGUUCUGAAGGCUUGGAAGUCCAAGAUCAAGACACCAGCAAAUUUUGUGUCUGGUGAAGGCCCACUUUCUGGUUCAUAGAUGGCACCUUCUAGCUGUUUCCUUAUACGACAGAAGGGGCUAGCUAGAUUUCUGGGAUCUCUUUUAUAAAGGCAUUACAAAUUGUGAGGGCUGCAUGCUUAUGACCUAAUCAUCUCCCGAAGACCCUAUCUCUUAAUACCAUCACCUUGAGGGUUAGGAUUUCAACAUGAGAAUUUUGAGAGGACACAUUCAGACCAUAGCAAAUACCAAGCUUUUUAUGGAUUCAUACUAUUUCAGAGAAUUAUACUGGUUGGCUAUAUCCUUAUUUCGAUUAUUACUAUCACCUUAAAAAAGGGAUUCUCAACUUUGAGCAUUACUGACAUUUUGGGCCAGAUCAUUUUGUUGUGGGGGCUGUCCUGUGUAUUGUAGGAUGUCUAGCAAUAUCCCUGGCCCCUCCCCACUAGAUGCCACUAGCACCUUGUCUACUACUCCUCCCCGCGCCCCCUACUUCCUCAGUAUGAUGACCCCAAAUGUUUC